UUUGAGCUGUGUUGGUUGUCACG
rnacentral:miRNA from 1 species